CCGUUCUGUUGGUUAAUAGUUGUCAAUAUUUGAUUGAUAAUUUAUGAUACUCCCUUAGACUCCCAAUUAUUAUAAAACCUUUAAACAUUUUCCUGAAAUGAGUCCCUUGUCUUUUAAUGGAGUAUCUGCCAAUAUUUGAAUAGUGUGGCUCAGUUUGGAUAGAACUACAAGCUUCUCAUUGUUUCUCCUUCUAUGCCACAG